UAACUACUCCCUCCGUCCCAAAAUAAGUGUCUCAAGCUUAGUACAACUUUGUACUAACUCUAGUACAAAGUUGAGACACUUAUUUUGGGACGGAGGGAGUAUUUC
rfam:Triticum aestivum genome assembly, contig: Triticum_aestivum_CS42_TGACv1_scaffold_557497_7AL